GCUGCACACACACUAAAACAUAUUAGAAACACACACACACUUCACGUUAACACCAUUUCUUUGGUGUUCAAGCUUUUGACCUCCGAUUUGAGCACCGAGACGAGCGCCGAUCAUCUUUUCGAUCACGUAUCUAAGUAGGUCCUUUUGGGAAGUAACGACUUGAGGGAGAGAGUGACGUUACUCAUUGAUACAGAGACACAACGAGGUUGAGCUGAUGUGAUGAUGGUGCUGCAAUGAGCGGAGUCUCCAGGGUUGUUAAUAAAUAGUUAACAUGUCUAGAAUAUGUCUUCAUACAUAUGUCUAGCUACUUUCCGCUGCAAGAUGUUGUUGAUGUUAUAGUAUGUUAUGUCAUACUUUGAGUCUUAAGAGAAUGGUUGCAUAUGAUGUAUAACUUGAUUAAUGAUAUUAAUUAACUUUUAUGCAGUCUUUCAUAGACUGUUUUCAAUUGAGUAUUAAUGAAUAAAAAUGACGAGUUUUAUUAAGAUGA